AAUGAACGCUGGCGGCGUGCCUAAUACAUGCAAGUCGAGCGAACACACGAGGAGCUUGCUCCUCUGACGUUAGCGGCGGACGGGUGAGUAACACGUGGAUAACCUACCUAUAAGACUGGGAUAACUUCGGGAAACCGGAGCUAAUACCGGAUAAUAUAUUGAACCGCAUGGUUCAAUAGUGAAAGACGGUUUUGCUGUCACUUAUAGAUGGAUCCGCGCCGCAUUAGCUAGUUGGUAAGGUAACGGCUUACCAAGGCAACGAUGCGUAGCCGACCUGAGAGGGUGAUCGGCCACACUGGAACUGAGACACGGUCCAGACUCCUACGGGAGGCAGCAGUAGGGAAUCUUCCGCAAUGGGCGAAAGCCUGACGGAGCAACGCCGCGUGAGUGAUGAAGGUCUUCGGAUCGUAAAACUCUGUUAUUAGGGAAGAACAAAUGUGUAAGUAACUAUGCACGUCUUGACGGUACCUAAUCAGAAAGCCACGGCUAACUACGUG
rnacentral:rRNA from 1 species